GUCGUUAUUUCCUCGUUGGCUUACGAGGUAUUUACGACGAUUGCUCAUACGUGGUAUUUACGACGAUUUCUCAUACGUGGUCGUUACGACGAGUUGUGCUUACGUGGAAUUAACGAGCCCCGCAUUCUUUAUUUUUAAAUUUCGUCGUUAUUUCGUCGUUGGCUUACGAGUCCUUUACGACGAUUUGUGCUUACGUGGAAUUAACGAGUAUUAUGUUUAAAUCCCUAGAAUCCGAAACCCCAAACCCCAUAUUCUUUAUUUUCUACUUCAUAUAUUCCAAACCCCAUCUUUAUUUCCAUUCCAAACCACAAUUCCCACAUUUGCUUAUUCAUAAAACAAACUCCCACAUUACCUUAUUCAUAAAACAAACCCCACAUUAUCUUAUUCGUAAAACAAAC
rnacentral:lncRNA from 1 species